AAUUGUGAUUGUCAUAGCAAUAUACAUAUAUAUGUAUUGAUCCUUUCAGAAAUUCAUCUGGCACCAUACAGCUUGUCAGAUAGACAAACAACA